UACGAAGGGUGCAAUCGUUAUUCGGAAUCACUGGGCGUAAAGGGUGCGUAGACGGUUUAUUAAGUUCGUUGUUAAAGGCUCCGGCCCAACCGGAGUAUUGCGAUGAAAACUGGUAAACUAGAGGAUGAGAGAGAGAAGUGGAAUUCCCGGAGUAGCGGUGAAAUGCGCAGAUAUCAGGAGGAACACCGAUGGCGAAGGCAGGUCUCUGGGCCACUACUGACGCUGAGAAGCGAAAGCAUGGGGAGCGAACAGG
rnacentral:rRNA from 1 species